rnacentral:rRNA from 1 species
UACAGAGGGGGCAAGCGUUGUUCGGAAUUACUGGGCGUAAAGGGCGCGUAGGCGGCCUGCUAAGUCGAACGUGAGAUCCCUGGGCUCAACCCAGGAACUGCGUCCGAUACUGGUUGGCUUGAAUCCGGGAGAGGGACGUGGAAUUCCAGGUGUAGCGGUGAAAUGCGUAGAUAUCUGGAGGAACACCGGUGGCGAAGGCGACGUCCUGGACCGGCAUUGACGCUGAGGCGCGAAAGCCAGGGGAGCAAACGGG